ensembl:rRNA 5S_rRNA 5S ribosomal RNA
GUCUACAGCCAUACCACCAUGAACACUUCCGAUCACCUCUGAGCUCAAAGCUAAUCAGCAGGGUUGGGCCUGGUUAGUGCUUGGAUGGGAGAGAGGGAUGAAUACUGGAGGCUAUCACUC